GCUUUAGUCAUUAAUGUGAGAGACUUAGA
rnacentral:piRNA from 1 species